GUCAUCGGUGGACUGCUGGUCCUGGCGCUGCUGUUGCCGGGCGGUGUGGCCACGGUGUCGACCGGUUCGGCCCCGGCGAGCGCG
rnacentral:tRNA from 1 species